AUUGAACGCUGGCGGCAGGCCUAACACAUGCAAGUCGAGCGGAUGAAUCGAGCUUGCUCCUGGAUUCAGCGGCGGCCGGGUGAGUAAUGCCUAGGAAUCUGCCUGGUAGUGGGGGAUAACGUCCGGAAACGGGCGCUAAUACCCCAUACGUCCUGUGGGAGAAAGUGGGUGAGCUUCGGACCUCACGCUAUCAGAUGAGCCUAGGUCGGAUUAGCUAGUUGGUGGGGUAAAGGCCUACCAAGGCGACGAGCCGUAACUGGUCUGAGAGGAUGGUCAGAAACCUUGGAAGUGAGACACGGCACAGACACCGACACUAAGCAGCAGUGGGGAAUAUUGGACAAGGGGGGAAAGCCUGAUCUAGCCCAGCCGCGUGUGUGAUGAAGGAGCUCGGACUGGAAAGCGAUGAAGGCUGGGGGGAAGGAAAGUAAGUUUAUACGGGGCGGUUAUGACGGUACCAACAGAAUAAGCACCGGCUAACUUCGUG
rnacentral:rRNA from 1 species